rnacentral:rRNA from 1 species
UACGGGAGGCAGCAGGGGGGAAUAUUGCACAAUGGGCGCAAGCCUGAUGCAGCCAUGCCGCGUGUAUGAAAAAGGCCUUCGGGUUGUAAAGUACUUUCAGUCGUGAGGAAGGUGUUAAGGUUAAUAACCUUAGCAAUUGACGUUAGCGACAGAAGAAGCACCGGCUAACUCCGUGCCAGCAGCCGCGGUAAUACGGAGGGUGCGAGCGUUAAUCGGAAUUACUGGGCGUAAAGGGCACGCAGGCGGUUAAUUAAGUUGGAUGUGAAAUCCCCGGGCUUAACCUGGGAAUGGCAUUCAAGACUGGUUAGCUAGAGUCUUGUAGAGGGGGUAGAAUUCCAUGUGUAGCGGUGAAAUGCGUAGAGAUGUGGAGGAAUACCGGUGGCGAAAGGCGGCCCCUGGACAAAGACUGACGCUCAUGUGCGAAAGCGUGGGGAGCAAAACAGGGAUUAGAUACC